rnacentral:misc_RNA from 1 species
UGUUGUAGAGCCAAAGACAAGCGGAGGGAUGAGCGUGAGGCACAAAUUCCUCUAAAAAUCAUUGGCUGUUGAUAUGUUUCAUUAGUGUAGGACAUAUUUUGGAUACAAACUGCGUUUUCUAAAAUAUGACAUUGGCUCUGUUGGUUAUCAAGCAGUUCUAAAAGCAGAAAGUGGUUGGCGUCGGUUGGUUCUGGACGAAGGCCGAGGUUGACGCGAUCCAGGAGGGGAUUUGAGGCCGAGGGAACCUUUACGAAAAAGUGAAUUAGGGCGGAGGAACCUUCAGAAGAUAGUGAAUGAAGGCAGAGGGACCUUCAGGGGAUAGUGACACUUCCUUCAUCCUGUGUUCAUACUCUCAUUUUGGUCAACCUCCGAUUAAGGGCCCCCAAGAUUCUGGAUCUUGGUCUUGGCCCAGGAGACCUCUAGACCCAAGGGCUUCACCUCAUUGCUGAAUGAAUCAAGAAUCGCCACCACUGAUUCCAGAUAGGAUAGCAACACCGUCAGCAAAUUCAAGGUGUGACAUGCCAAAACGCAAGCGACUGUCUGAUGGGGAGGAAGGGGAGUCUACUGUUGCUACUCCAGUUGUAGAAGGGAGACCCAAGAGACGUCGAAAUGAUACAACACUGGUUGAUACAAUACAGUACAUUUUUGAUGCAUUACGUAACAAAAAGAAAGACGACGAUGUAUACCUAUGCGAAGCAUUUCUUCGAGUGCCUAGGAAGAAAACAGAACCACAGUAUUAUGAGAUGAUUAGGUCUCCAAUAGACAUGCUGAAGAUCCAGCAAAAGAUAAAGACGGAUGUGUACAAUGAACUUGAGGAAUUUUGUAAAGAUGUCCAACUACUGGUGGAUAAUGCCAAACUAUAUUAUGCCAAGUCUACUGAUGAGUACAAAGAUGCUUGUGAGCUAUGGACAAUAUUCGAGGAGGCCAAAGAUCGUGCACCUGAAGAGAUCAAUAAGGAAAAAUUACGUCAGCAGUCCCAAGAAGAAGACGAACGACAAGGCAAAAGGAAAUACAUUCUACAGAGGGGAAGACCACCAAAGUCUGCAAUUGCAUUGUCUGCCCCAAUGAUAUUAGAAGAGGAUGGUGAGCCUAUGACAAUAGAAAAUGCUAUUGAAGAGCUUUUUGGAGCAGUGAUGACAGCUAUGGAUCCUGAUGGAAGACUCUACUCCUAUGAUUUUCGUCUUUUACCUUCAAGAGAGCUGAGGUGAAAGACCAACACAGCAGUGCCACUCUAGGCAGAGAUUUUCAUUUUGCUCCCCUUCACAGCUGGAAAUAUCCAGAUUACUACCAGUACAUUGACAACCCAAUUGACUUGAAGACUAUUGCACAAAAUAUUCAAGCUGGCAUCUACAAGAGCCUUGAUGAUUUACAUGAAGAUUUUAAUCUGAUGUUCAAUAAUGCAUGUGUUUUUA